GAUGAACGCUAGCGGCAGGCUUAAUACAUGCAAGUCGUGGGGCAGCAGGUUUGUAGCAAUACAGAUGCUGGCGACCGGCAAACGGGUGCGGAACACGUACAGAACCUUCCUUUGAGCGGGGAAUAGCCCAGAGAAAUUUGGAUUAAUACCCCAUAGUAUAAUGAAGUGGCAUCACUUUAUUAUUAAAGAUUUAUCACUCGAAGAUGGCUGUGCGGCUGAUUAGGUAGUUGGCGGGGUAAAGGCCCACCAAGCCUGCGAUCAGUAACUGGUGUGAGAGCACGACCAGUCACACGGGCACUGAGACACGGGCCCGACUCCUACGGGAGGCAGCAGUAAGGAAUAUUGGUCAAUGGAGGCAACUCUGAACCAGCCAUGCCGCGUGGAGGAUGAAGGUCCUCUGGAUUGUAAACUUCUUUAUAUGGCGAAAAAGGCUUUUCUAAGUCGUCUGACGGUACCAUAUGAAUAAGCACCGGCUAACUCCGUGCCAGCAG
rnacentral:rRNA from 1 species